AACUAACGCUGGCGGCGCGUCUUAAACAUGCAAGUGGAACGGUAAGGCCUCAGCUUGCUGAGGUACACGAGUCGCAAACGGGUGAGUAACACGUGGGUCAUCUGCCUUGAAGUGGGGGAUAGCUUCGGGAAACCGAAAUUAAUACCGCAUGUGACGGCAACGUUAAAGGGGGCUUCGGCUCCCGCUUCAAGAUGAGCCCGCGCACCAUUAGCUUGUUGGUGGGGUAAGAGCCUACCAAGGCAACGAUGGUUAGCCGGCCUGAGAGGGUGAUCGGCCACAUUGGGACUGAGACACGGCCCAGACUCCUACGGGAGGCAGCAGUUAAGAAUCUUGGACAAUGGGGGCAACCCUGAUCCAGCGACGCCGCGUGAGCGAUGAAGGCCUUUGGGUUGUAAAGCUCAGUAAGUAGGGAAGAAUGUACAGAUGUUAAUACCAUCUGAGAUGACGGUACCUACCUAAAGCACCGGCUAAAUACGUGCCAGCCGCCGCCGUAACAC
rnacentral:rRNA from 1 species